CCUCACAAAAUUCACAUUCUUGGCGACAAAAAGGUUUGAAAGACAUACAAAUUUGAGGGGUUUCUGCCGCUGAACAACAUUUGAAUACUCACAAAUCUUUUGUCAGACGAAAAUCCAUAGCUUAUCCUACUUCAGGGUUAACUUUAACAUUACAACAGCAUUCGAGCGGCACUGAAAAGCAACUAGUCAAAGUUGUCUUGUGGGCACGACUUUCAUGUAGUUACGAACCAAAGUUAUUACAAUAAUUUACCGCUUGUCACGCUUAUGCGGUAACAAGAUGUGCUUUAGAACGUAACAUGCAAACCAUAUGAUCAAAAAGCUUACCAAUUCUUCAUGACCCGGUCCUUCAUGGCAAAUCCAGAGAGCAGGAAAUCCAGGGAUAUCAGUCUGAAAAAAUGGAUUGUAAUCAGUUCAGAUUGUUGGCAUACAGAAGUUCUACAAAAAGGGAGGUUUAGCAAGGACUUGCACCAGAGUGUAGUUGAUCUGAAGUCCGAUGGUCAGAGGUUUGAGUUCCUGCCGUGACCAAACUUUUAUUCAGCGUGACAAGAAUUGCAAGCUGUCUGUAAUUCCAAGCAUAGGAAUCGGUCGAUAUUGAGGGUAUGGUCGAUAUUGAGGAAGGACAAGGACACUGGACACGGGACAAGAAAAAAAAAUCUCAAAGCAACACAUACAAACAGACAAACUUGUAUGUGUUCUUUCGAUAUUAGUAGUUACAAAUGUUCCACUAAGUGAGAACAUCAAAUUAUGUGCCGAUGCUUUGAACCGGAACGAGCUUGAUAGCCAUUCCCAUAGGAAGUAUCCAUUGAACUGAUGGAGACUAGGACACGUGCCAAUUUAGCUUUAACAAUGAAAUGUACCAUUGGUUGAAAAGUUUGACACUUGAUAACUCACAAUUGUAUAUCGCAAGCCAACUUUUACCGCAUAGCGAUGGGCAAAUCACUCCACAAAAUCGCAAUGGAUGAACAAGGCCCACGCGAGGAAAUUUGCAUAGAAAUCAAGAGGUUGUGGUUGUAACUCCCUUGAUUUAAAAGUAAAAAAAGCGAAAUAUGGCAUAUCCACUAUUAUAGCAUAUCCAGUCAUCUGUAGCUAAUGACUGCACCCAAAGGACUACUUCAUAUUCAUUGCAGUACUGGAUACAGAAAACGCUAUGUUUCCAUCAACUAUAUUGCAGAAUACAUUCCCACUAACAUUGCAAAGAUGGCUGAAAGACUUAUUCCAAAACUGCUGGCAUGGCUUUGCUUCCCGCCUCUUCACUUGAAAUGGCGAUAAAUCAGAACUUACUUCAGCAGUGUUCUAGUGAGGGCCUGGGGCUAAAGAUGGGAAACCUGCGUAUUUAAAAGGCCUUUAAAUAUUCUGUUAGUUUUUGUUGAAGCCCAAAAAGGAAACGUUUGAUAACCGUAUAAAAAUGAAAUACAGAAACACUACCAUCAAGUAGUUCAACUCCAACAUCACCAUUCAACAUAUAUUUUAUUUCAUUUAAAAGGCUUCUCUUGUAAAUUACAUAGAUGACAAAACUUAACCACACAGCUGACCAAGUUGUUGCUUUUGCCAACUGCAUAAUCAAAAAGUGCCCUUGAAUUGCUUACGUGCCAAAUGAAAUGAGCAAAGGGGUGACCUUUGUGGGCCAAGAUCUAAAAUUUUUCCAUUCGAUAUGCUUUUAGAAACAUAAAAAACAAUAUCAAAACCAGGGUUACCGAAAGGUGGUGUCGAUGGAAAAUUGGCCUCGCGGUUCAGGUUCAGGGGGCCCUCGGGGUUUCCAACUUGUGACUGCAAAAAAUAUUCUGAAAUGGAUUUUUCGCUAAUCUAAAGGGCAUGGUCGUCAAAUUUUUUCUGCUCGCUUCGCUCGCAAAGGCUUCCUCUAUCGGUUGCGCCACGAGGCCUCUGAAAACCUCUCAGCGUCAUUGCUCACAACUAAGUCAGAAAAUGAUAUCUACAUCAUUGUAGUCAGGCUCUAUGAAACAGCCUUUUUUAACCUUUCUGGAAUCUUUUUUUAGAUACCUCUUAAACAGGCUUUUAAACCUUAUCAACUCGGGUUAGGAAAGGGAAAGGAACAAGAGAAGGUAUUUGCCAACUUCGCAUACUUAGUGAACAUAUGAUUGAGAAGAAAAGGAAACUGUUUGUAUGCUUCAUCGAUUAUACAAAAGCUUUUGAUAGAGUUAAACACGAAAAGCUGAUUGAAGUUCUUGAAAAGUAUAACAUUCCGCUCAUCAGCAACCUAUACUGGAACCAAACAGCGACGGUCAAAACUAACAAUGGAGAAUCCAGAACCUUCAAAUAAAAAAAAGGUGUUCAACAAGGAUGCAUCCUAUCACCAAUCCUGUUCAACAUGUAUAGCGAAGAACUAAUUCAAGAAGAUUUAGGCAAUUCACAUGGAAUCGAAGUAAAAACGAGGUAUGCAAAAUCUACGGUAUGGAGUUGAAUGCCAAAAAGAUGAUAUUUAUGGUAAUUGAAAAAACACCAGGGACUAAUCUCUGAGAAACAUCUGAGAAAGCAGUUCUCGAGCAAGGAAAAAGUUAUUGCUACCUUGGGUCUCAAAUCACAGAAGAUUGCAGAUGAGUAGAAGAAAUCAAGAAACGCCGUGCAAUGGCAAAAAUUGCAUUUCAACGUCAUCAAGACCCUUUCAACAUAAACAUCAACUGUAAGACGAAACUAAAUGUACUCAGGACCUAUGUAUAACCAGUCCUUACCUACGGAUGCGAAGCCUGGACCAUCGGAAAACCCAUGAAAGACGAAGUACAGGCUUUUGAGCUAUGGUGCCAUAAAAGUAUGCUAAAGAUCAAAUGGACGGAUAGAAUCAGAAAUAAAAAAGUACUAAAAAAGAUGAAUACAACCCCUAAGCUGCUUAACGUCAUUGUGAAAAGAAAAGCUGCGCUUUUUGGUCAUGCUGCAAGAGGAUCCAGUGGUUUGGUUUUCUCUAACAUCGUGGAGGGGUUUAAAGAAGGUAAAAGGUAUAGUGGAAGGCAAAGAAGAAUUUGGAUGUACGACAUUAAAGAGUGGGUUGAUAUCUGGGAUUACGACGAUCUGAAAAGGAGGUCAAUGGAUAGGGUUUGGUGGCAGGGGUGGCGCCAAAAAUCUUCCGACAGAGGGGCUGGAGCUUCCGACAGAGGGGCUGGAGCUUCCGACAGGGGGGCUAAAAUGACUAAAAUAAGCAGUUUUCGUACGUUAUUUUGUCAAAUUUGCUCCAACAAAAACCUAAAAUUUCCUCCGAUGGGGGGGCUAGAUGCUUCCGACGGAGGGGCUGUAGGCCCCCUAGCCCUCCCCUGGCGCCACCACUGUUUGGUGGAGGAGUAUAGUUAGCAACCUACGGACCACGUAGAUGCUACUCUGGAUUAUUGAAUGAAACCUUAUAGAAUGUUUGUUAGGUACCACUUUAAACAGGUGUCCUCCAUUUUCAUAAUUCUUCUUACGUCCUUCAAUUCAUGACGUUUUAUUCAAGAUGUUUUUUGAAUCAAGAAGUUUUCAUGCAGCACGGUUUCCUAUUCAAAGCUUUUAACGUACCGACUGGUUGUCCCAUUGGGUCCAUUUGCUUGUCCUAGCGGGCCCUUUUGAAUCCCCACUAGUUGAAGUCCUUAAAAAAUAUCUUGAAGACUUGGCUUGCAUUUGGCAAGCAGUGCCAGAAUGCACGUGUAUUUUAAUGAGCCAAUGCUAAAAGCUUCUUAAAGAUUCUUAGCGAUUUGACUUUCUUAUGAGAUCCUUAUGGAAACCCUGGUGCAAUCUGAAAUUUUAAAUUCAGAUUACAGUCUCUCUUCAGAAGCAAGAAAAAUAGAAUGAUAUCAUUCCUUUUCGAUCAGUUUCAAACGAAAAAAGUACACCCAAACUUCACAAAUAUUUAAGCAAAGAUCUCAGAAUUCUCGUCGUUCAAUUGUACUCGUGAUUUUUGCAAGGAAUAUGUACUCUAACAUGAGUUAGCGUUGGUAAUUCAAAUCAGUUGGCUUUAUUCAGCUUCAAUAUAGAUAAAGAUUGUACCAACUUUAAAUAAAGAAAGGAAAAAGCUGUAUGUUUAGAGUUAUAUCCAAAAGUUACAUCAAGCCAUGUAGACGGUCAUCAGAACAAAUUUUUGCUUUUAUGUAAGGUUGGAUUGGGUCCAGCCUCCCUUGAUGAUUGAUGUUGGGAUGAACAAAAUUUCGAGAAUGAAGUUUGACUGUAAGUCCUGAUUUAAAUGUAUUUUUAUGGGUGUUGCCCCCCCAGUCUUUAGGGCGUAACAAUGCAAAACUUUCCCUAGGGGCCCCCCGACUACCGACCCUAUUUCCCUUAACAGCACCUUCACCAACAACCAGGCAUCGUCGUUGGCAAGACGACGAUUCCAGAUCUGUUUCAUUAGCAAACUUUUAUACCCCCAAGGUGGCCUUUCUGCAGUUCCUGCCCCCGCCGCAUCACGAUGCUUCCGGCGCCUCUGUAGAAUGUAUGAAUAAUAACAUAUAAUCUUCAGAUUUUCAAGCUGAAUUUUUUUCGUGCACCGGCCUAGACAUUACGACAACUGAAUUUUGACAUUCACAUAUCCGAACUUUGUAAAAGGGCAGCAACACAGAUAAAUGUGCUUAAAAUACUAAUUGCUAUUUUUUGUUGGUUUUGAGGAUAAAAAGGUUCCGUUUCAAAGCUUUGUCUUCUCUUAUUUUGACUAUUUCCCUCGAACAUCAUUUCUCGCUUUGCCUAGAUCUAUAAAGAAGAUCUAACAAAUACAGGAAAGAGCCCUACAUAUUUUUAUAAUGAUCAUAAUUCAUCUUUUGGAGAUUUGCUUUGCAAAUCUCACAAAUGCACAAUGCAUGUAAAUCGGCCAAGGUACCUCUACAUUGACAUUUUCAAAACUGUGAAAAAAUUAAAUCCUGAAUUCAUGCAAUUUUUUUCGAACCAAGAACCUCUCGUCCACAAGACUUGCAGCACUACAGGCCCAACCAAACAACUUUCGGUUCAAACAGCCUCAGGUCCCUCGGAUCACAAAAUUGGAAUGGCUCACAACAGGAAAAAAAUCUGCAGAAAACCUCAUCCAAUUUAAAAGAUUAAUUAAAAACUGGGACGGGGCCACCUUUACCUGCAACGUAUGCAAAAUUAAAUAAUUUUAUUGUAAAUUUGUAAUUAAAAAAUUAUUAAACAUUGUCAAUUUGUGUAUUUUGUAAAUGAUCGAAUCAGACAAGUUACUGUGUUGUAGCUUAAAAUUAUAUUCAAUUUAAAAUAAGAUCAUAAACAAACAAACAAAACUACAAACUUUCCAUCUGUAGUCCCCACACCUUUUUAUACAAAUACUUUUUUUCUGCCACGCUUUGAUAUUCUUAAGAACUUUCCACUUUGAGCUCUAAAAUAAUCUUAAAGCAUUCUUAAUGAUACCAUGGGCAAAUUCUGUUGGGAAACGGAAAAGCGAAACGAAACUGAAGCCUCAAGUUAAGCAUAAUUUAGAUAAAUCCAAGAAAUUAUAUACUAUCCUUUGCUGCUGUAUUGUGGCAAAAAAAGAUAUUAUUG